AUCGAAUGUGCUUAAAAAUGAAGAACCAGGAUAUGUGACACGAUUAUAACAUACCAAUUGAUUGCAUGUUCAGGAAUUAAAGACUAAGACAUAAUGCUAUUACUAAUCUUGAUUAAUUUGAAAGAAAAAAUCAUUCAUGGCCUGGAAAAGAAUUUCUAGACUGACACAAUGUCUGGUCUAUUGACUAGGCCCAAACCAUCUGAGACAUAAUCUGCAUUGAGCUCGAACUGUAAUCCUCUUUAAUUCAUUAAAACAACAGCAUUAAACCUUUAAUGUAUCAAUACUAAAUCUGGUUUGUUAUAGCAGCCCAAACAAAAUUAAGAAAAGAAAUUUUCUAGAAGUUCAGGAUCAUAUUACAUGAAUGAAUAUCAAUACAUGAACAACUAAAUGUUAAUAAAGUUAACUUUACUAUAUCUGGAUAGCCUAACUAAUCCAUUGCCUCUUUACAAGCCUGAUUCGCCAUAGAGACCCUUAUUUCCAAUCAUGCUACCUGCAAUUGAAUCUCAUUUUUUGGGCCUAAACCUUGCGGAUUUGGUCAACCGGUGUCCAAAUUUGCAGAUUAUAGAGAUAUCACCAACAAUAAAACCCUUCAAAAUCACUCCAUUUAAACAAUAUGAGCAACCAACUAUGUAAACUCUGUAAAGCUGAAGUUGAAACUACAAACUUUUACCAUAUUGAUAUCAAUUUGUUCAUGCAACUUAUAUAUUCAGAAGAUUGCAAAGGCUAGAAUACCAAACAUGUUUUAUUAUUUCAUAAACUAAACUUAUUCUACAUAACCUUCACUAAAAAAAGAAAAUAAAAAUAAAAUGGCUCCAUUUUGAAAAGACUUUCAGCAACACAUUUCAGCAACUUAUUUGAUUCAUCAGGGUAUAACAUAAAUAAGAGACAAAUUUGGCAACAAACAAGGUUAUCACAUCGUAUGGCACAAAUUGUCAAACAGCAACACAUCUCGAAUAAAUUGCUACUUCAAUUUCAUAUUUAAAAGGGGUUUCAAAUGGUGGUGUUGCAUACAUAAAGGUAGUUGACAGGAGAAAAAAGGACCAAAUAAAAGCCCUAGGUCCAAGAAGAGAAAGACCAAAUCUUGCAGCAACAGCCAACCAAACACAGCUAAUAAACCAGACUAAGUGAAGAUAACUUUGAAACCAAAAACCAGCUAGAGUGCAUCAGGAAAAUCUCUUCUUCAUAUCAUAUUUCAAUUUUGUAAAUAAUCAAAAGAUUUGAAGUUUUUGAGUUUUUUCAAUGAUUUCCAGAAUCUACACUUUUGAGGAAUUAAAUAAGGCUUUUUAUGCAGAAAAUAGUGCUAAGUCCCUCUAUUUUCUAUGGGAAAGGCACUAUAUAUAGGGAUAUACAAUGCCUUAUGCUGAAGGAAUUAUUCCUUAGCCUAAACAGCAUAUUCCCAACAGAAUUGAGACAACUAAUUUUUCCCCAUUGGUUUCAGUACUUAGUACUAACCAAAUGAGGCCAGCUACCCCUUUUCUAGAGUAUUCUGAUAUUUCCAAAUAA
rnacentral:lncRNA from 1 species